rnacentral:lncRNA from 1 species
CUCGGGGCCCCGAACCCAAGCGUCGCCGUCCAGAAAUAAACCGCCUUUUGCCCGCGACUCUGUCCGUUGUCUUGAAUUCCGUCGAGUUCCGGAGGGGAUCCUGCGCGUGGGGAGGGGACGCUGGGGACCGUGCUCGUGUGCUCGGAUGCCAAAGAGAAAUUUCGGGGAAAAAAAAGGUUUUUUUUAAUUGACCAGAACGGGGAAAACCCGACAUCAAGCCAACGGGACCCAGUGAGGCUCUCUUAGCGUUUGGUUCUCUGUGCACGGAGCUGCCCCGAGUGGGUCUGAGCCUUUGUCCCUCCAGGUCCCGCUGACGUGGGCCGGUGGGGACGUGGGUGGGGGCUCACCGUGCUUGGCGGAGACAUUACGGGGGGACUUCUGCGUACUGACCCCCUUGGGGUAUCUUCUGUGCUUCCUUUCAGCCGACCAGGGUGAGGCCGGCACCAAGAACCAGCAGAGCACCAACGCCGACCAGCCCGUCCAGUGGAGUCUUCUGGAAAAAUAGAAGCUUGGCCUCGACGUACGUCCGCGACGCAAUUCCCAGCAGGAGGACAAGACUCGCCGGCUGUGUCUUCCCGAAAAACACGUGCACGGGCGGCGGCCACGGCGGGCUCCAGCCCCGUCCUGCCCACGCUUGUCCUUACAUUGAGACGCUUUGUUUUGACCUUGAGAUGCGUCGUGCCUGUUUGUACCACGCCGGGUAGACGAGGGGGCUUCUAACGCUGCGUGUCACCUUCAGAGGGGACCAGUGCUCCCCUCUCCGGGGCCGUUAGGGCUUUCCCCGUGGGGUGGGAGACACCGAUUGUCCGUGGCAGAGUCUUUCCAAUACCGACCCCGCACACGUUCUCCCUCCCGGAACGCUGGGCCGUUUACCACACCCCGUGCUGACUAAACAGAACCGUCCCUGGCAUUGACCCUCGGAUACAGUGAGAUAAACCUUCCACUGGUGUCCUCAAGGUUUCCUUCAUUGGGUAGGAUUUUUUGUUUUGUUUUGUUUUGUUCUUGUUUUCCACACCAGACUAAUAAAAAAGAAACAGGAAACCA